rnacentral:lncRNA from 1 species
GGGAAGGGGCAGGACAGGUGAAGUUUACCACAGGAGCCAAGGCCUUGAACCCACCAGCAAGGGUUCUUGCUGGAACUCGCAGUAUCUCAUCAUGGUUAGAUGGUGAGAUCUCGCCUGAGGAGAGUGGGGUGGCAGCAGGAGACAGCUCACAAAAGGAACUCCACAAUGUUUGUUUCUGAUGCUCCUGGGGCUGUUGGUAGGAUCCAUGACCGUCCAGGAGUGUUGACAAGCAGGGAAAGCAGAGGGAUCGCUGACACCCAAGGCCGACAGACCAUCAUGCAGGUCAGCGCCAGUCAGCAUGGAUAA